rnacentral:rRNA from 1 species
UACGUAGGGUGCAAGCGUUGUCCGGAAUUAUUGGGCGUAAAGAGCUCGUAGGCGGUCUGUCGCGUCUGCUGUGAAAACUCAGGGCUUAACCCUGAGCUUGCAGUGGGUACGGGCAGACUAGAGUGCGGUAGGGGAGACUGGAAUUCCUGGUGUAGCGGUGAAAUGCGCAGAUAUCAGGAGGAACACCAGUGGCGAAGGCGGCUCGCUGGGCCGGACCUGACGCUGAGACGCGAAGGCGUGGGGAGCGAACGGG